GUGGGUGGCAAGCGUUGUCCGGAAUUAUUGGGCGUAAAGCGCGCGCAGGCGGUUCUUUAAGUCUGAUGUGAAAGCCCACGGCUCAACCGUGGAGGGUCAUUGGAAACUGGGGUACUUGAGUACAGAAGAGGAAAGCGGAAUUCCACGUGUAGCGGUGAAAUGCGUAGAGAUGUGGAGGAGCACCAGUGGUGAAGGCGGCUUUCUGGUCUGUAACUGACGCUGAGGCGCGAAAGCGUGGGGAGCAAACAGGGAUUAGAUACCCUGGUAGUCCACGCCGUAAACGAUGAGUGCUAAGUGUUAGGGGGUUUCCGCCCCCUUAGUGCUGCAGCUAACGCAUUAAGCACUCCGCCUGGGGAGUACGGCCGCAAGGCUG
rnacentral:rRNA from 1 species